rnacentral:sRNA from 1 species
AAAUCCUACUUUAGGCUACCGGAAUUCGAUUGCGGUUCUAGUUCUUGUGCUCAAUGAUACACAAAGCAUCUAGUCAUAUUUGACUACAAAUCCGCUAACCAAGCUUAUUCUUGAUUCUCAAAGCUUUGAUAGUGAAGCCGAAUUCUUAUAAGUUUUUGGUUUUGAACAGUUUAACAAGGAAGCACUACUUUACUUUUCGGGAUCUGGUUGAGGUUCUAGUUUUAUAUUCAAUCAUACACAUAACAUCUAGUCAUAUUUAACUCUGAAACGCUUAUGUAGAUUCUUUUU